GCGACAACUAGAGUCCACUUCACGCAGUGCACCUUAAUCGGUGGCUGUAACAGGUUGAUGAGGUCGUUUUAUGUCGGCCUGAAAUAAUCUGGCGAACAGUUGCAGCAUGAGGUGAUUUUAUUUCAUGUUUCAUGUGAAAACUGUUGCGACAUUUCGACUUGUGGAGCUUGUUAACAGAAAUGUUUUGAAAAAAUGGCGACCGUUUGUUUAGCUAGCUGUUGUGGGCGUGGCCCUUGCCGUUGUUCUCAGUUUAGCCUAGCAUGCUAACCAACAAGAAAAACAACAUGAGAGAUUGGAAACAAGCUUCUGGAGAGAGUUUAUUGAUUAAAGUUACCAAAACCCAAAACCAAGCUGACUGAGUGACUUCAGGAGCACAUCUGAUAUCUAAUGGUGAAUUCAUCCAUAAUGUUCACCUGUCAUCCAGGUGACAGUUCCCAUCUACAGUACCUCGCUGACGUGACCAAACACCGCUUGUGCAACUGCUGAUGGAGGGUUUUUAUUCCCAUUGGUGAAGCCUUCGGGCUGUCAGAGGAGAAUGUGGAGGUGGCAGAAGUAGACGCACUCCUUGUCCAGGAAAGUGGCGCAGGAGCAGCGUUUGGUCCGCACAUGGCGCCCCUGGGUGGUGGUGGAGGCGGUGGUUGUCUCUCCAGAAGGCGCUGCAAUGGAUAAACCUUUGAUGCUCAGAGUUACCCCAAAGAAUUACAUUGCAGUCAUUGCAGCUGAGGCAAGCUACUGAACCAAUUCCAAAAAUGUUGGAGAAGUUGCAGUGGACACAGUGGUAUGGCCGGACAUCAGAGUGGGUGCGUAUAUGUUUGCGCAGCAUGCUGGGCUUCUUGCACCGGAUCCCACAUUCCUCACAGAUGUAUUUACCGCGUCCACGCCCACGCACACGCCACAGAUUACAUAAUGCGUCCCCACCCCUGCGCUGCCGUGGAGGAAAACAAAGGCACCCUGCCAGCAGAAACACAGCAACCGAGGCUCAUGAGGAGAGGGCAGAGUGUUUGUUUAUGUGCGUGUGUUUGACAGAGAGGUAGACAGAGAGGAGCGAGAGCUGUGUGACCAUGUGAACGCCCUCGCCAACAGGAAUCAGAUUCCUGGCAUCAGUGGAAAAUGCACUUCACGAGUAAAUGAGGCAGACAGGAAAUCCUGCAACAUCGAGAGGAUUACCUGAGGCUACUGCUGAGGUGGAUGUUUCCAGGACAGCGAAAUAAGAUGAUGCAUUUAAAAGAGCGUAAUGAAAUUAAAGCGGACAAAGACAAAGGAAGAGCAAUUAAGGAAAGGAUGUAGUCAGGAGCGCAAGAAACAGCAGGUCAUAGCUGACCUCACAGCGCUCCGCCUCCAUGAUAACAACAGGUACAUCUAUUCUUACAUGGACGCAGAGGAACAGAGGGAGGGAGGGAGCUAAAGUGAGUCUGAUGAUCUCAUGCUGUGUGGAAGAAGAAGUCAGAAGUGUCGUAAGUUCAGCUCUGCUCUAUCUCUGGACCGAACUGUUGCGUAACACCAACAGCUUAUCCUGUCCUCCUUCUCGUGUUGUACAUCAGCUGCUGCCGCAUGGAGGAGGAGGAGGACCAACACGCCGCCGCAGACGAGCGCCGGAGCGUUACUGGUCGGUGCUGGGGGGGUGAUUAAUGAGCUGCGAGAGGCGUUAACCCCUUGACCAACAUUGUUGUUACUCAGGACGAACGUAAAUAAGAAACAUGAUGGAUGAUGGAGGUGGAAUUUAAUCAUUUCAAUGACAAAAAAACACAAGAAACUCCGAUAGUAUAAAGCUUUUUUUGUAAUACGAUUCCAUAAUUAACUGAUAAGUUACGAAAGUUAUAAAAUAUUUGAUUCAUCCCAAGGAAGAAUUUCAAACAUUUCACGGUUCCGGCUUCUUAAGUGCGACAAUUUUCUGCUUACGUUAUAGAAAACUUGUAUCAAUGAGCAUGUGUCUGUGUGUAAACAAGCAAACUGAAGAUUGUUUAGGUUUCGGACUAUUGGUUGGACAAACAAAGACAACCGGAGUACGUCAUCGUUGGAUGUAGGAGACAGGGAUGGAUAGACUUUGGUGCCAUUUUCUUAUCACGAAUCAAGACCAUAAUUGGCAGAUAAUCAGUAAAAACAAUAAAAGCUCUUCUCAGCCUAUAA